rnacentral:rRNA from 1 species
UAAUGUAUGGGGAUCUGCCCGAUAGAGGGGGAUAACUACUGGAAACGGUGGCUAAUACCGCAUAAUGUCUACGGACCAAAGCAGGGGCUCUUCGGACCUUGCACUAUCGGAUGAACCCAUAUGGGAUUAGCUAGUAGGUGGGGUAAAGGCUCACCUAGGCGACGAUCUCUAGCUGGUCUGAGAAGAUGAUCAGCCACACUGGGACUGAGACGCGGCCCAG